UACGAAGGGGGGCUAGCGUUGCUCGGAAUUACUGGGCGUAAAGGGCGCGUAGGCGGACAUUUUAGUCAGAGGUGAAAGCCCAGGGCUCAACCUUGGAAUUGCCUUUGAUACUGGAUGUCUUGAGUUCGGGAGAGGUGAGUGGAAUGCCGAGUGUAGAGGUGAAAUUCGUAGAUAUUCGGCGGAACACCAGUGGCGAAGGCGACUCACUGGCCCGUUACUGACGCUGAGGCGCGAAAGCGUGGGGAGCAAACAGG
rnacentral:rRNA from 1 species